ensembl:lncRNA
UCAUCUGUUUCCGCCCUUUGAUGUUCAUCCCGGAAGAAUCGAUUUGAUCUUGAUUCAUCUCAGAUUCAAACUCCGCGUCAAGUCCUCGCGGUGAAAGCGCGCGAGGGCGGGGGGGCAAUAAAUUAUGUUAAUGAGUGAGGACAGAUUGGACAGAGGGGGGCGUGUUCCUGGGGGGGGGGGGUGCCCGCGCCUCCAGCCAUCGUGCCCCUCAGCUGUGUACAUGCGCGCUGCCUCCUCGCGCAGAAUCACUCCGCAGAAUCUCACCCGCAACAAGUUUCCGCCGCGCGGCUCCGUCCGUCAACUCGCUCCGCUGUCCCGGUCACCGCCGAGGGCCGUGAACGCACCGCCGCACACACGCGCCGAGCCGCGCGCCACAGACUCGUGACUCCGCAGCGGCCGCAGCUCGCUCCGAAGCGGCGCGUGCAGCCUGUAGCGUGUCUCGUGAAGUGAACCUGAGCUCGCGGAGGAGCAGCACCUGAACAUGGAGAAAGACGCGGCGCGUCAGGAGCGGCGCCGCCGCCGCGCCGCGGCGCUCAGCGUCGCCGCGUGCGCGCUGUCGGUGGCGUCCGUCGCCUUCUGCGUCCUGCUCAGCAUCAACGCGGCGGAGCUCCGGAACCGGGUCCUGGACCUGGAGAAGCCGCAGUCGGCCCGCGAGGACGUGGAUUCUCUGGUGGAGCAGAAAGUGGAGGAGCUGCUGACACAGCGCGCGUUCGAGAAUUACGUCAAGAUCCGGACCGCGAGACAAACGUCACCUGAAUGCAACUGCCCCCCAGGUUCUGGUGCCGCCUGGGAGGGGGGAGGGGCCCUCAGAUGGCGUUCCGGCUGGCGUUGACACUCUGUUUGGGUUUCCACUUGGAACGUGCGACAUUCCCGCGCCGCUCGUCUCCUCGCUGGUUUGUGACGACAUGAUGAGUUUGAGACGUUCCUCAUCUGUUUUCCUGGUUCGGGUCCAGAUGUUCCCGUUCGGAUCAUGUUGAAACGUAACGCGGGACAUCAAUCCUGACCAGAGAGGAGCGACGUGUGUUACCAUGACAACGCCUGGUCAGGUUAGCAUCGGUGACCCUCGGCGGACCUCUGCGGUUCUGAUCCGAACAAGUCAAUAAUCCGUCAAUAAUCUCAUUAACUUCCUUCGGAGACAGUCGGACUCCUCGUUGAUCAGUUAGCACCGCGGCUAGUUACUCUCCGCUAGUCCCACCCCCAUCCUCCCUUCAUCGUCUCCAGACCUCCUGGAUUUGGGUCCAGAUCCGGACUCACACCUCCGGACUUUCAGCAAGUUUUCCUCCCAUUCCUGAGCAUGUUUUCUGGAACGCUGGCUGGAAUUCAAUAAGGCGAGUUGCCUCCACGGCGGGAUUGUGUUGGGAAUGAAAUCAGGUUUCAUUUAUCUGGUGGUUCUGCAGGCUGCAGGACCUGGACCAGGACCUGGACCAGGACCUGGACCAGGACCUGGACCGGACAGGAACCAUUCAUUCCCACUGUCACGAUUAAGGAUUCCGGGCGUAGAAGCCCCUCACAGGCUUCCGUAGGAGAGGUUUCUGACUGAGCCGAUCGAUUUCCGACCUCUGCCGGUCCGGGAGCGUGUGAGGCGUUCGUGUGUCUCUGCAGCCAGAGGAAAACACAUUGAUCUUUGGAAGUGAUGAAAAGACUCCCGGCGAGGCUCCGUUUGUCUCCCUGCAGCUCUGACGGAUCCGAUGAUCCCGUUUUUCUCUGUGAAAAACCUUUUUGUUGUCAAAUAUCUGUAAAAACGAUCUUUGUGCUGUUUUAUUUCCCGCGGAAUGCUGCGGUUUUCCCAGGCAGAUUCCUCCCAUAAUGAGGUGAUAAUCCAAAUUAAUUCCCAACUCCGGUGCCGGACUGAGAUGAUUGAAUGUAGAAACUCAACAAAAUUCCUCAUUUCUGAUAAAACAUAACUGGGAUCAUUUAGGACUACAAUGAGGAAGACGGAUUCUCCAGAAUCAGGAAUAACCUGAAACUGUGGCUCCGCCCCCUCCUCAGUAUUAGGAUCAAUAUUCCGGCAUAAAAACAGUUUUUAGCGGGAAUGAUUCCCGUAAUCGGGACUAACCUCUGAAAACGGACCUGAAACGGGAAAAUUCCAGGAAUAAAAACGGGAGAAUAUUUAGGGCCCGGGCUAGCAUAGCUAGCAUCUUAACGUUAGCUGGUUAGCAGUAGCUAACAAUUAAAAUCAGGAAACAAUUGAAAAGCUUUGAUUCCGCUUCAUGAAGCAGCAGCUGGAUCCGGAGCGUCCGGAGAACCGGCACGGGUCUGUUUGACGGCUUCUUCUGUCUUUAGUUCUGCCUGGAAAAGUUUGAGGAAGUUCAGGGAUUAGGAGGAGUUGAGCAGGUCAGACGUUACGACAAGGACUUCCUGUCCCGGAGACAGGCCGCCGGAUCAGCGGUUCAAGGGGACUCCGGGUUUUUGUCUCCACAAAAGCCGCUGAGCGACCUCGAGGGGCGGCCGAGACAAAGUCCAGGACUCUCUCGCUCUCAUCUGUUCCCGCUAUUCCCGACAUGAAUGGUUCUGUCCGGAAACACGGAAGCACAUUUUCAGUUGUUCUUACCCUGGCGGAGCUCUUGGAUCCCGGAGAAGCCGGUGGGAUAAAUCAGGAGCAGGCGGCGUAUUAGCGCGCGGGGACGCUAACUCACCUCUUCUUUGGGGGGGGGGCACAUGAUUUAAAGCCAGACGAAGAUCCCUGCAUGCUAACGUUGGCUAAUGCUUUAACUCUCCCUCCUGUUGCCGCGGCUUCCCACUAUAGACGACGAUGGGAUGUUGUGUCCCAGCAUUCCCUGUGAGAGCCGGCGGACCUUCGCAGGUGCUUCAUGUCGGAACAUUUAUCGUCCGUCAUCUCGAGUUUCUUGAGUCUCUAAUAAAACAACUUAGCGAAAGACUUCGUUCCUCCACAGGAGACCAAUUAAAGAGCUCUGGUUUUACUGGAACGUCGCGGUUCUGGAGGAAAGUGAAGUUCCAGACUCCGUAGCGGAGCGCGUCUGUGCUUCGUCAGGAGCUAGCGCCGGUUAGCGACAACAAGCGCGGUGACAUUUCCCCACGAGCCCGACUGUAAACUUGUGGUCCCAUUUACAUUUUUCCGCUGGACACUGGACCCAGUGUUCCACAAAUUAGCAUUUGUGCCGUGAUUUAUUCAUCUCCAUGCGUAGCAACGAGGCGCUGGGAUCGGGACCGUCCGUCUCUGCCAGAUGUCCCCACAAAAAUGUUCUCGUAAAGAAACAAACGCUCGCGGAGCAGAGAGUCGCCGACCUGCAUCGCGGUCGGUGUUGCCAGCUUUAAUAAACUCCAUGUUCCCUGUCGGGGAUCGAAUGAACCGUCUGAAACUCGUCUGGAGCUUCUGGAAUACCUGGAAUGUUUGAAUGCUACACAGAAAAUGCUAAUAGAUGCCUGAGAAGCCAUGAAGAGCCUGAGGUAGGCUAGGUUGCUAAGGCUACAUUGAGCACCGUAACAACAGAAGUAGAUAAACUUGUUUCCAUGCUUUUGUUUCGUUAGCUUGGCUGAUAGCUUUGAAGCUAAGGCUAGCUAAACUUCCGGACCUUUCCAGCAUGUUUGUGAACCAGAAACGUAACUCCAGGUUCACUUCAACUGGUUCCAUACAUCAAAGCUCCAGGACGAGAAGCUCGACAGGAGACGGCUCAGGUCACAUGGUCCAGGGUCACAUGACACCAGGACGGCCUUUUAGCUUAACGAGCAACGCUCGACGCUGCUGACGUCCCCGAUUUAAUGAGGUUAUGGUCUGAAUGUUGUUGAGCCAUUAAGUGGGUUUCUCUCCAUCUUUGGAGCAGCGGUUUGGGCAAGCUAGCAUGCUAACGAUGCCAGUGGCUACAUCCUGAUUUAGCCCACGUUAGCAUGAGAUGAGGCCGCGCCAGCAGCUCUCAACGAUUCCUUCUGGGCACCAACGUUUGGGAGCUUCCGUCCAGGCGUCCAAAUAUUUAAAACUUUAGAUCCAGAAACGAGUCAAACAGUCGUCGACGUUCCGGGUCUCCGGCGACGCCUCGCUUGAAGUGCUUCCAUCCCGGAACGCCGAGAAGCCACAGAAUCCCAGAACCUUCCCGCUAGCUCUCGGCCGGCCGCCCGGCGCCGCUGACCCUCGUCAUCAGACAGACCCGCCGGUCCUGCUGGCGUUGGGCUGAGAACGGUCCUGGGUCGCCACGUCGGGGGGGGCAGAGAACAUUCCGGAGUGAACGAGGAGGAAGAAAACCACUUCUGUUCCUCUCGGAUCCUCCAAAAACAAACGCAGGCAGGAAAAGUCCAGUCAGCUGCCGUGAAGCGAGAGUCCGACUCCACCUGUGGUCGCACCGUUCCCCGGUGCCGGACCUUCUCCUGGACCGGCCCCAAAGGGAACAGAGUCGCUUCCAGGACCGCUAGCAUAAAGCUCCUGUUUGUUGCCCGGCUAACACGAGGGGAGCCUCCGGCAGGAAGUUAGCAUAGCUGGAUUUAGCAAGACGCUAAUUUUAUCGCUAUUGUGAGAUGAUUGGGGUCAUUGUUCCGCCACGGUGCUGAUCCAGAUCUGGUUCCACGGUCCUGCUCCAGAUCUGGUCCCACGGUCCUGCUCCAGAUCUGGUUCCACGGUGCUGAUCCAGAUCUGGUUCCACGAUCCUGCUCCAGAUCUGGUUCCACGGUGCUGAUCCAGAUCUGGUUCCACGAUCCUGCUCCAGAUCUGGUUCCACGGUCCUGCUCCAGAUCUGGUUCCACGAUCCUGCUC